AAAUAAGAAGCAAUUAAUGCAUUUAGUUUCGACCUAAAAAUUUGAUAUAAUUAUCCUUAUUUA
rnacentral:tRNA from 2 species